rnacentral:rRNA from 2 species
UGGGCGUUAAGUUGCAGGGUAUAGACCCGAAACCCGGUGAUCUAGCCAUGGGCAGGUUGAAGGUUGGGUAACACUAACUGGAGGACCGAACCGACUAAUGUUGAAAAAUUAGCGGAUGACCUGUGGCUGGGGGUGAAAGGCCAAUCAAACCGGGAGAUAGCUGGUUCUCCCCGAAAGCUAUUUAGGUAGCGCCUCGUGAAUUCAUCUCCGGGGGUAGAGCACUGUUUCGGCUAGGGGGCCAUCCCGGCUUACCAACCCGAUGCAAACUGCGAAUACCGGAGAAUGUUAUCACGGGAGACACACGGCGGGUGCUAACGUCCGUCGUGAAGAGGGAAACAACCCAGACCGCCAGCUAAGGUCCCAAAGUCAUGGUUAAGUGGGAAACGAUGUGGGAAGGCCCAGACAGCCAGGAUGUUGGCUUAGAAGCAGCCAUCAUUUAAAGAAAGCGUAAUAGCUCACUGGUCGAGUCGGCCUGCGCGGAAGAUGUAACGGGGCUAAACCAUGCACCGAAGCUGCGGCAGCGAACGUAUCACC